rnacentral:rRNA from 1 species
GGCUUGUAUGAAUGGUUUGACGGAAAUUUAACUUUUUUUUAUUUAACUUGUUGAAUUUAUUUUUUGAGUUAAAAAACUUAAAUAUAAUAGAGGGACGAGAAGACCCUAUAGAAUUUAAUAUUAUUUUUGAAAAAAAAAUUUUUGGUUGGGGUGACAGAAAAUGAACUUUUUCAAAUUUAUUCAUAUUAAAUGAAUGAUUGAUCUUUAAUUUUAGAUAAAAAGAUAAAAUUACCUUAGGGAUAACAGCAUAAUUUUUUUUAAAAGAUCAUAUUAAUAAAAAAGAUUAUGACCUCGAUGUUGAAUUAAGAUAUUAUUUUGGUGCAGAAUUUAAAAUAAUUAGUCUGUUCGACUUUAAUUUUUACAUGAUUUGAGUUCAGACCGGCGUGAGCCAGGUUGGUUUCUAUCUUUUAAUAAUUU